UGCUUCACGGAUUUGUUGCACUCGCGUGUCUAAUCGGGCUUUAAAUCAGCAAGAAUCAGUUCAAACUGAUCACAAUAUACAUUAAGAUCGUUGAGUAACUUAUACAGAACGCCUUCAAUCGAUGUCCGACAUGUCCGCCUAUAAAAGUAUUUGUUUCUAUGCAAACUAAUCUCUUUGCAUUUACAUAGGACAGUAAAUUGUUGCAGACAGUACGUUUGUCGGAGUUUGGCGGAUUGCUACUUAUAAGAAAUACAUAUCACAGGACUGAUUGGUCGAUUGGCCGUCUGCUUGUACCGAUGCAAACUAGUGUGCCAGUUUCAAAGCUUUUGUCAUGAAAUCUAACAGAGAUCCGUCAUGGUUUUACAGGCAGAUCGGUGCACUAUGAUUGUACUCAAAAUAUAUUUCUAGUAUGCCGUCAACUUAGUACCAAAUGCAAACCUGGCACAAUAACAACAGCGAAGAGAGCACGCGCCAAAAACUCACCAAAAAUGAAGCGACAAUGCAGCAGCAGCAGCAGCAAGGCCAUUAUGCCGCACACACACACACACACACACACACACAGCGACAAAUUGGUCUGACAGCAUCGGAUGGGGCAUUUCUAACUAUGCGACCUCAACACCAGUAACCAACACCAACAACAUGCACCGCACCCUCUGCUUCUUCCAACCGAAAACUCGCAACAACAAAUGAAAAUUCCAAGAAUAUUCGCAUUCGCAGUGAGUUUUGGCUUUUGCGGCUGCCAGUCGCUGUUUACUUGGCUUCCCCGGUUAUUUACGGCCUGCAAAUUUUUUGCUAUCCUAUUUGGUUUCUAUAUACCAAUUUUUUGUUUCUUUUCUUUUUUAUUUAUUUAUUUUUUUUUUUGGUUCAUUGUUUGUUGCUGGCUCGUUGCCAAAAGGGAAAUAUGUGUUGUGAAAAUUGCACAUUUUUAUAGCCAUCGCUAGGUGCUAAACUAUGGGUAUCUGCUCCUUUGCUCCCACUCCGAUUCUGACCUUUUUAAUUGCGCUGCAAUUUUUUAGUAUCGAUUUUUGAUUUGUUGUUAAAAUAAGAGAAUUUUCAACGCAUUUCGUGUAAUUUGAUUAUGGUUCCUCGUUUUCGCCACGCCAUUCGCUAAUUAGGCCCAUGAAGCUGCGACGUGUAUGGCUCGUUUGGCUUGUUGCAUAAUUUAUUUUUCAUAUGUAGCAAAGCCGCACAAUUUGCAUAUAUUUUGUAGUCGUGUAAACAAGUAAGCAAGUUAGUUAUUACGAAUGUGGGAUGCUCUUUCGAAUUAUGCAGACAUUUUCGCGCCGAUGCCCUUGAGGCCUUAAACCGAGCACUGUUCACAAUUAACAUUUGUUUUUGAUAAACACUUUCGAUAGAUUUUCAGAU
rnacentral:sRNA from 1 species